rnacentral:lncRNA from 1 species
GCGGGCGCUGUGGGAGUGGAGAAGCUGCAAGUGCUGAGGCGCGGUGGAGGAAAGCAUGGGAGCCAAGAGUAUGAGGAGCUGGUGUCUGUGUCAGAUUUGUAGCUGCGGGCGACAUCAUUGUCCACGUGGAACCACAAGGAUUUAUGAAAAUUCUGGGGUGUUUUGCCCUACAACUGAAUAUUUGGAAAAAUAUCCUAUGUAUGACAAUGUUCUUCCACCUCAGAGUCUUAAAGCCAAGCAAGAAAUUCGAGCAUGCCAUGGUCGGAUUAUUGUCCUUAUGAAAUAGUUAAACAGCCUCGCCAUGUGCCAGAAGAAUAUAAACCAAAACAAGGGAAGAUUGAUCUUGGUACUACCUACAAACGGGAUUUGAAUUCGUAUAAAGUGCAGCCUGUGGCAAUAGUCCGGCCUUUGGAGAGACAAGUUAAAAAAGGAAAAUUGGACACUGUCCCAACCUAUAAAGGUAACUUGCUGUUUCAUACAUGAAGGAGCCAAAAAACUAAAACUCACUUCCAGCUUUAACAUCUAAUAUCAAAUUAUAACUUUGGUGUGCUGCCAAACUUAGCCUCCAUGGCUUAGGAAAGAACAUUUCUCUCUUUGGCAAAAUAGUAUUGUAUAGUAACAAAAGAAAAUAGGCCAUUUGUCUGAUUGAGUGGUAAAAGACCCACAAUCCCAUCCAAAUUCAUCUACUUUGUUAGUUUUCUGUCUCAAAACAUGAAAAACAAAGGAUGCCAUUAAAGAAGCAUUAUGUCACA